ACGCGCAUUGUCUUUUUUUUUUAAGUUGUGUUUUCUACAGAUCAGUUUCAUUUGUGAUGAGACAUUAAGUGUUGCAUACAGUGUUGAGAACUAUGCUACAAGAAGCCUCUGGUAAAUCAUCGAGAGAAACUUGUGUGGGGUUUCCCAAGGCAUUCGAGCAGGGGUUAAGCAUUGUUGCUGGAACCAUGCGGCACAAAAUGGCUUCUGAAAUACCCACUGAGGGUUUUAUUUAUUUAUUUAAACAUUUCUAUCGCACCCUACAUGCAUAAAGCCAUUUGGGACACCACAAUUCCAUAAAAUAUAAAUUUAUUCUGUUGUCAGACAUGAGUGUUGCAUUCAGUGUUGAGAACUAUGCUACAAGCAUGCCUGCCUCUUCACCAAUUAUCAUCUGUUACCGUUGAUGGGGGACCAGCAAUGAUUGGCUGUCAGUGGGUUCAUUGCUCACUGCCUAAAGGAUUAUUGCCCUUAGUUUGUUUUAUUACCCAUCAAGAAGCAUAUUUUUAAUAAAAGAGUUUUCAUGGUGACUGUGGUCUCCCCCCUUAUUUCCUUUAUUUUUUCUUACACAGAGGAGUCCUGACCAUCAGUAAGAUCACUGUUCCUAAUGCCUAAGGUGAAUGAAACGUUCAAGCCAAGUCUUUAUGAUUACAGUCACAGAACAGCCAUGGGAGGAUUAGAGAUUGUGCAUGCAGCUUUUGUGUUCACUGCACUAUGUCAGAGGACCAGCGAGAAAACCUCUCUUUUGGUGAGAUAGAAAAGUUGAGAAGCAUUACUUUGGGGUUACCAGUUAACACAGCAUUGUUGCCAUAGGUGCUCAUUAAGAUAUCUGUUAACAGCUUCUGCUCAGGAGAGAGUAUAGCUGAGAACUAGUGCAUUAGUGGAUAGAUUGAUGAGCUACGGAUGGAGACUAUUAAAAUCCCUGCUCGGCCUUAAAAAAGUUUUCAUUUAUUUCUCCAGUUGUGCUAAGAACAAUGAAUCUGCUCAGCCUUUAGGGUUAUUUUUGAUCGUCACUAGCUCUCAGCCUAACCUAGGAAAUAUAGGAAGGUGAGCUCAAUAUAGGAAGAAGCUCAAUAGUGACAGGCAGUGGGUCUCCAGUUUUGGAAAGGGAAGGCCCCACUUGGAGAGAUGCCAGGCAUUGAACUUGGGACCUUCUGCAUGCAAAGUGGAUGAUCUACCAAGGAGCCACAGCCCUUUUCCACAAUGUGCCUCACAGGGCUGCUGCGAGGAUAAACUGGGUGGUAGAGAACCAUCUGUGAUGCCUUAUGCUCCCUGGAGAAAGAGUUGAACAUAAAAGAAACAGGUAACUUUAAUCUGCAUGAUUCCUAAACAAAACAAAAUGGUGAUCUAACUGAAGCCCCUGGUUUCUCCAUUAUGUGGGAGUAUGCUGUGGAAUUACCAUAUAUGGAAGAAAAGGAGGGAAUCUCUCUUGAGGGAUUGCUGAAGCCUAACCAUUUUAAAAGUUUUUAAUUUUCACUUGUUUUUGUUUAGUUUCACUUCAGAGUCCUGUUUAAUUUUAAGCAAUAUAUAAAUUGUUCAAAUAAAAUAAACAAAUACAAAAAUAUCCAAUGGGAAGUUUGUACACAUUUGGAAGUAUUGUCAUGGCUCCCCCUCCUCUGGGUUGAGAACAUGAACUUUUAAGCGGCAGCAACAAGUUUUAUUUAUUUUAAUCACGGCACAAAAGGGACAAAGCACACUUCUGUGUGGAUGAGCUAUGUGCCUCAGUCAAUUGCUGAGGAAAAACAAUCUCAAAUUAAUACUCCCAUUCUAAUUAUUAUCUUCGCUGAAGAAAAGCCCUGUUGUUUUAAUGAAUAUAAUGAAGCAAAUUACAACUUUUGGGGUGGUGAGUAUUGAAAAAAGUGUCAAGAAUGCUGCAUUUCCUACAAAUAUUUCCUUGAUGGCAUAAAUUAGGCUGAAAUUACACUGGUGCAACCCUUUUGAAAUAUAAUUGCUUUUAAAGAGUGCAGACAGAGCAAGGAAGAACACAGGCUUCCAGUGGAAGGAAAAUGAAAGGAAAGCAACCUUAAGCUCCUCUCCCCAAGCCAUAAUGGCUAUCUAAGCUAAGAGAAGUCUGGUUGAUAUGACUGAAAUAAAAGAAAUGGCACUAGCUCUUGGCCUACGGCAACACGUACACGCCAGCCAGUCUGCAAACCUCCAGGACUUACCCAACCCACCACCCCCUUGCAAAGCCCUUUUCAAUCUGAGUCCCCAAACACGAGGGCUGGAGAUCGUGAAGCAGUGGGCCAAACCAACUCAUGGCAAACAUUGGGGAGGGGUGAGAGUGUUCAGUUUAUUUUUUUCCUUUGAAACCCAAGCAUUACUAUUUUUGUUUGCCCCUACUCUACCUUGGCACCAUAAAACCGGCAUGCACUUCACAUAUUCUUCAAGAUGGCAUACUGGAUGUAGUGCUUUCCAUAGCUGGAGGCUCAAAGUUUUGUCCCCCUUCAUGUAGCAGAGUUGGUUUCUCCCCCUGUGAGUCAUCAUCAAGAAGGGGAGUGAAACCUAUGUGGGGUUUCCCAAGGCAUUUCAGCAGGGGUUAAGGAACCAUUCAUUUGACACAAAAUGGCUUCUGAAAUACCCACUGAGGGUUUUAUUUAUUUAAACAUUUCUAUCGCACUCUGCAUGUGUAAAGCCAUUUGGGUCACUACAAUUCCAUAACAUAUAAAUAUAAAAUUAAGGCCUAUAUAUUUAAAUCAAUACAGUAUUAUACAACUUUUAAAAAUCCCCAAAUAAUUCUGGGAACUGUAGUUUGCUAAGGGCACUAAGAGUUGUUGGAAGACCCCUGUUCCCCUCACAGAGCUACAAUUCUCAGAGGAGCUUGGCAAUCCCUAUUGCCAGGAAAUUCUGGGAAUUGUAGCUCUGUGAGGGGAACAGGGGUCUACUAACAACUGUCAGCACCCUUAACUAAGUGCAAUUCCCAGUAUUAUUUGGAGGAAGUUGUGACUGUUCAAAGUUGUAUAAUACUGCUUUAAAUUUCUAGUGCAGAUGGGACCAAUAAGAAUCCGGUUAACUGCAUUUGUGCAUAUGUUCUCAACCAACACAGAUUGCUGUGACUCUUGGCUCAAGAACAGAGUAAAUUAGCAAUGAAAUCAGCAAGCCAAGCUUAGACUGAAAGAAUAUGCCAUUUAUUACAAAAUAUGAUUGGUAUCAUGAUACAGAACAGAAAAGUUAGUUUUCAUAGGCAGGUUGGAGUGACAGCUCUUUGGUUAAAUCCAAGAAGGAGCAGAGAUGGAAGGAUCCUGAGGACAAGGAGGAGAACAGCGUAACACCAGAGAAAUAGGUGCAAAUCCUACUUGGGUUAUUUAACAAGACACAAGGCAGGGGAAUCUGCAACUUCCAUAUGUGGUUGGUGUGGGAUAACCAGCUUCGUAUAACCAACAUGUAUUUUAAUGAAUGAAUGAAGAUAAUACCAUAGAGUAAGCUAUCCUGCCAGGUUUAGCUACAUGUCCACUUCCCCUCACCUUGGUAGGAACCAAUAUUUCCCUUUGUUCUCCCCUAGUCUUCAGUGUGUGAAGAGGUUUGAGCUGGUUGCUCCAUCUCAACCGCAUGGCUCUCACAAGCCACUUUUGAAUUCCUAUACCAGUAAGUAAGUAACAUUAAACACUUUGCAUCUAAGCUGAGUUUUACUGCCUGUGCAACCUUUUCUGAAGCACAUGAAUCUGACAUUUGGAGAAUUUAUAAGUAAACCUUAAAAAAAAAAACUUUUACCAAGCUUGUGGUCUUUUCCCUAUCCUUGGGGGAAAGGGAAACUUUGGAAAGAAACUUUGAGGGAACAUUCUGGAACUCACUCAACUCCUCACAGGUAGUUGUGAUGAACCUGGGGACAGAACCCCAUUCUUCAGGGAAUGAGGCUGGGGACCAGUGUGCACAUAAAGUCUCCAUUUUAGUAAGGAGUAGGGCACAUGCAUACCAUUGCACAAAGGUGGGUUGGAAGAUGCAGUUCAAAAGCACGUCAAAGUGCAAGUAGAUAAAUAGGUACCGCUCCGGCAGGAAGGUAAACAGCGUUUCCAUGCGCUGCUCUGGUUUCGCCAGAAGUGGCUUAGUCAUGCUGGCCACAUGACCCGGAAAAACUGUCUGCGGACAAACGUCGGCUCCUUCAGCCAGUAAAGCAAAAUGAGCACCGCAAACCCAGAGUCAUUCACAACUGGACCUAACUGUCAGGGGUCCUUUACCGUUUUUGUGUGUGUAUUGUUAUACAACUGAAUUACAUUUUUUAAGAACUGUCAACUCACAUCAAAAUGUAAUUUUCUUUGCUGAAACCUUUUAUUAAGAAAUAAUAAAUUAAAUACUGGAUUUCUGUGAAAGAAUUCAUUACAAGGUGAAGUGUGUGAGGAAUUGAAUGGAUGGAUGUCCGUGGCUAGGGGCCGUAAUCUGGACUGGGCGCAAGAUCACCUAGCUAUGGCUCUGUGUUCAAAUGCCCUCUUGAAAUUCCCCUUAGUCUCACACUUCUUCUUUUAUUAUUAUAAAGAUUUUUAUUGGUUUUACAUAUAAUCACAUUACGUACCAUCGUACCCUCUUAUUUUAUCUCUUUGGCUCAACUGAACCUAUUGACUUCCCUCCCUCCCAUCUGAUGUUUUACAAAAUUAAACUUUACAUCUUUACAAUUUGCUUCGUUUCCUAUCCUUGUUAUAUAUCAUUGCCUAAAAUAUUAUAUUACUCAACCUGAAUAGGUAGCAAUUUCAUCUUACAAAUCUUCAGAUGUUAAUUGCUUACAGUUGUCUUUCAAAUAUAAUAUAAAUUUAUUCCAGUCUUUUUGGAAUGCUUGGUCUUGCUGGUUCCAGAUUCUUCCCAUCAGUUUCGCCAGUUCUGCGAAGUCCAUCAGCCAUGCACCCCACUUCUCUGCUCAUAUAUAGGUGCUUUUAUCAGGGUCAUCUUUGACUAAACCAUUCCCUGCAUAGUAGCAGUAAACAAUGGUAUUAAGCAGUAAAGGGUGGCUAUCAUUAUUUCUAUUUAGACAGUUUACUCUUAAUAAGAACAUUGGUUGAGUUGUGUUUAGCCUUCAUCCUAUGUUGGGCAAGAGAUUCCUGUAUUACAGGGGGUGACAUCUUAUACCACUGAAGUCGCUGCACUGUAGAAUUUUUCUUCGUGCCUAACAGUGUAUUGUCGCUCUGAACAAUAUGAUGCAAAAAGGGAAUGUUGGACUUACCAUGAAAAUUCAUUCUCUCCAGUGGAGUGGGUUGCAAUUCCCACUUGCUUUCUAAGUAGGGAUAUUAUAAUGAGCUUCUGCUAAAGACCCCUGCCCUCUCCCCGUCCAAAAAACACCCAUACCCAACCCUACAAUUUUCUGUUUCCACUGAGAAGUUUCAGUCUGUAAGUGAUUUCCCUAUACACUGGUACCUCAGGUUAAGUACUUAAUUCAUUCUGGAGGUCCGUACUUAACCUGAAACUGUUCUUAACCUGAAGCACCACUUUAGCUAAUGGGGCCUCCUGCUGCUGCUGCGCCUCCGGAGCCUGAUUUCUGUUCUCAUCCUGAAGCAACGUUCUUAACCUGAAGCACUAUUUCUGGGUUAGCGGAGUCUGUAACCUGAAGCAUAUGUAACCUGAAGCAUAUGUAACCUGAGGUACCACUGUACGAUAUAGCUGCAUUAAGAAGUAACGAACAGCUCCACCAUGAGGUCAGCCAAGGCAAGCACACCCCAUUGUGAAUUCUGGUAUCAUUAAAACUGGCAGGCGGAUAGUUCUGAUCCUGUAGAGUUCUCUGC